AUGCUUCUAAUUUUCCUGCAAUAUUUAGAAAUUUAACCCAUUUCACCAUGAGGUUUUUUUUUUUUACCUAUUUUUGAAAUUUUUAUAUGUGUAUGUUAGUGCAUGUAUACUAUGGUGAACAUUUGGAGAUCAGAGGCUGGAUUAUGGGAAUGAGUUUCCUGCUUCCGCUUCCGGGGGAUCGGUUUCAGGUCAUCAGGCUUGGCAGCCGGCACUUUCACUUGCAGAGCGAUCUUCCUGGACCCUCAUUUGAUUUAUUUACUUACUUAAUUAAUUCAACUUCCUUGCUAGGGAUAAAUCCAGGAUGGAUUGUUAGGCAAGUACACCAGCGCCGAUGCCCUUCCCAGGGGUACCGUUCCCGGUUUGCAUGACCGUAUCAUCACUCUUAUAGCAUAAAGACAACUUUUAACUCCCUAGUUAUGACCAGGAAAUACGUAGAAGAAUGAAGUAUACGUCAAUGGUGAUAAAAAUGAGGUUGUGAAUGCUUCAGAGAAGAACAGAAGUUAUCAGGCCCUCUAUAGGACUUCACCUACUGCACAUCCCCAUUGCCAAAACUGUCUGUAGCUUCAGUAUGUAGUGAGAAUUCUGAUCCAUCUAGAAGGUAAAAUAUGAGCUGGACACAGAACAUCAUGAUUCAGGAUCAUGAGGUCGUCAUCCAUGAUGGUGUUCAAAUCGCAGUGGUGCAGCUGUUUGGGGAUCUUUUUCUUGGCUUCCCUUAGGUCAUUUCAAUAAAGCCAUUGGCU